rnacentral:snoRNA from 1 species
GUGCCUUAGGGUUGAACGAGUCCCUAAUAUGCAACCCUAAAAUCCAUCUUUUCUUCAGUGUCAGCAAAUUGAUUUCAUUCUCUGCUUUUAUACCAUUCUAAGAUGGAAAAUUC